GGAAAAGAGGGAGUUGGGGAAUGGGAAGAGAAUCAGAGACACAGAGACCAACGGAGACAGAAAGAAGAUGGAACCUGCCACAGGACCCAGUGAAUUCACAUCACCUGGCCAGAAUGAACUCUGUUCUCAGAAUAAUGGAAAAAAGUCAAUUGGCACAGCUGAGCCACUACCAGAGAGUGAUGGAUCAAUGAAACACAAAGGAAUCAAGAAUACAUUCAAGGAGUUCUAGAAGGUACAGAUCCCAAAAGGAGGGAAUCAAGAACACAUUCAAUGAGGUGUAGAAGGUACAGAUUCCCAAAGGAGGG